GCUAUCAAUACUAAGGUGCAGGACUGCUUUCCCCCCCUUUUUUUCACAUCAUGUCGCCUGUCUGGAUCUGUUAUAAUCUCGCUCUGAAGAACGGAGGAGUGUCAGAGCUGGAGCCCAGUUAAGUUGGUUUUGACAACCUUUCCAUCAAUGCUCAGAGUUUGUCAGCUUCUCACAUGAUGACGGUGCCACCUAGAGGAGCAUUUGCCUGUUUUUGAUGAGAGACUCCACCUGUGACACCAAGUUUUGCUAUCAUAAAAUGCUGUCAGUAUUCACUCAAGAUAGGCUUCAUACUUGUUCCCUGUCCUUCUGGACUCCAAAGACAUCUCAGCACCUCUCGUGUGGAACAAAGUGUUACCACCAAACAGUACCUCUGGGUAAUAGUGGGAACUCUGCUGGUGUGUUUGUGCGUGUUUGUGUGUGCUUAGGGGAUGUGUGGGGAGGGAGAGAGUGAAUGUAGUAAGAUGAAACGUAUUCAUUUGUGUGUGCAUUGCAUGUUUUGGUUUUUAUGCUUCUCUGGGUGUUUCCCAGCUGCAGUCAGCUGUACAUCACAGAAGCCUCCCAUGUGUGAGUUCAAAGUCGCUCAACUCAACUCAAACUAUUUAUGAUGCCAUCACAGGAAGGACAUGUGUGUAUUUUAA